UACGAGGGGGGCGAGCGUUGUUCGGAAUGACUGGGCGUAAAGGGCGCGUAGGCGGAUGGCACAGUCAGAUGUGAAAUUCCCGGGCUUAACCUGGGGGCUGCAUUUGAUACGUGUGAUCUAGGGUGAGGAAGAGGGUCGUGGAAUUCCCAGUGUAGAGGUGAAAUUCGUAGAUAUUCGGAAGAACACCAGUGGCGAAGGCGACAUACUGGGUCAUGACUGACGCUGAGGCUCGAAAGCGUGGGGAGCAAACAGG
rnacentral:rRNA from 1 species